rnacentral:tRNA from 1 species
GGUUUCAUUAGCUCAGUUGGUUAGAGCGUGGUGGUGAUAACACCAAGGUCACGGGUUCGAUCCCCGCUUGGUCCC